rnacentral:rRNA from 1 species
AGCGGCGGACGGGUGAGUAAUGCCUGGGAAAUUGCCCUGAUGUGGGGGAUAACCAUUGGAAACGAUGGCUAAUACCGCAUAAUAGCUUCGGCUCAAAGAGGGGGACCUUCGGGCCUCUCGCGUCAGGAUAUGCCCAGAUGGGAUUAGCUAGUUGGUGAGGUAAUGGCUCACCAAGGCGACGAUCUCUAGCUGGUCUGAGAGGAUGAUCAGCCACACUGGAACUGAGACACGGUCCAGACUCCUACGGGAGGCAGCAGUGGGGAAUAUUGCACAGUGGGCGCAAGCCUGAUGCAGCCAUGCCGCGUGUAUGAAGAAGGCCUUCGGGUUGUAAAGUACUUUCAGCAGUGAGGAAGGUGGGUAUGUUAAUAGCAUAUUCAUUUGACGUUAGCUGCAGAAGAAGCACCAGCUAACUCCGUGCCAGCAGCCGCGGUAAUACGGAGGGUGCGAGCGUUAAUCGGAAUUACUGGGCGUAAAGCGCAUGCAGGUGGUUUGUUAAGUCAGAUGUGAAAGCCCGGGGCUCAACCUCGGAAUUGCAUUUGAAACUGGCAAA